UUUAAAUAAUUUUACUGUGAAACUGCGAAUGGCUCAUUAUAUAAGUUAUCGUUUAUUUGAUAGUACCUUACUACAUGGAUAACCGUGGUAAUUCUAGAGCUAAUACAUGCUAAAAACCUCGACUUCGGAAGAGGUGUGUUUAUUAGAUUAAAAACCAAUGCCCUUCGGGGCUCACUGGCGAUUCAUAAUAACCUCUCGAAUCGCAUGGCCUUGCGCCGGCGAUGGUUCAUUCAAAUUUCUUCCCUAUCAACUUUCGAUGCUAGAGUAGUGUUCUAGCAUGGUUACAACGGGUAACGGAGGGUUAGGGCUCGACCCCGGAGAAGGAGCCUGAGAAACGGCUACUACAUCCAAGGAAGGCAGCAGGCGCGCAAAUUACCCAAUCCCGACACGGGGAGGUAGUGACGAUAAAUACUGAUACAGGGCUCUUUUGGGUCUUGUAAUUGGAAUGAGUACAAUUUAAAUCCCUUAACGAGGAACAAUUGGAGGGCAAGUCUGGUGCCAGCAGCCGCGGUAAUUCCAGCUCCAAUAGCGUAUAUUAAAGUUGUUGUGGUUAAAAAGCUCGUAGUAGAACCUUGGGCCUGGCUGGCCGGUCCGCCUCACCGCGUGCACUGGUCCGGCCGGGCCUUUCCCUCUGUGGAACCGCAUGCCCUUCACUGGGUGUGCCGGGGAAACAGGACUUUUACUUUGAAAAAAUUAGAGUGCUCCAGGCAGGCCUUUGCUCGAAUACAUUAGCAUGGAAUAAUAGAAUAGGACGUGUGGUUCUAUUUUGUUGGUUUCUAGGACCGCCGUAAUGAUUAAUAGGGACAGUCGGGGGCAUCAGUAUUCAAUUGUCAGAGGUGAAAUUCUUGGAUUUAUUGAAGACUAACUACUGCGAAAGCAUUUGCCAAGGAUGUUUUCAUUUAUCAGGAACGAAAGUUAGGGGAUCGAAGACGAUCAGAUACCGUCGUAGUCUUAACCAUAAACUAUGCCGACUAGGGAUCGGACGAUGUUAUUUUUUGACUCGUUCGGCACCUUACGAGAAAUCAAAGUGCUUGGGCUCCAGGGGGAGUAUGGUCGCAAGGCUGAAACUUAAAGAAAUUGACGGAAGGGCACCACCAGGGGUGGAGCCUGCGGCUUAAUUUGACUCAACACGGGGAAACUCACCAGGUCCAGACACAAUGAGGAUUGACAGAUUGAGAGCUCUUUCUUGAUUUUGUGGGUGGUGGUGCAUGGCCGUUCUUAGUUGGUGGAGUGAUUUGUCUGCUUAAUUGCGAUAACGAACGAGACCUUAACCUGCUAAAUAGCCCGUAUUGCUUUGGCAGUACGCCGGCUUCUUAGAGGGACUAU
rnacentral:rRNA from 1 species